rnacentral:rRNA from 1 species
CGGCGGACGGGUGAGUAACACGUGGAUAACCUACCUAUAAGACUGGGAUAACUUCGGGAAACCGGAGCUAAUACCGGAUAAUAUUUUGAACCGCAUGGUUCAAAAGUGAAAGACGGUCUUGCUGUCACUUAUAGAUGGAUCCGCGCUGCAUUAGCUAGUUGGUAAGGUAACGGCUUACCAAGGCAACGAUGCAUAGCCGACCCGAGAGGGUGAUCGGCCACACUGGAACUGAGACACGGUCCAGACUCCUACGGGAGGCAGCAGGG